rnacentral:rRNA from 1 species
UGGUGGAGUGAUUUGUCUGGUUAAUUCCGAUAACGAACGAGACUCUAACCUGCUAAAUAGUCAGCUGGUAUCUUAUUGCCUGCCUGACUUCUUAGAGGGAUUGGCUACUUAUAGUAGCAAGAAAAUGAGCAAUAACA